rnacentral:rRNA from 1 species
AUUGAACGCUGGCGGCAUGCCUUACACAUGCAAGUCGAACGGCAGCACGGGGCAACCUGGUGGCGAGUGGCGAACGGGUGAGUAAUGCAUCGGAACGUACCUUUCAGUGGGGGAUAACGUAGCGAAAGUUACGCUAAUACCGCAUAUUCUGUGAGCAGGAAAGCAGGGGAUCGCAAGACCUUGCGCUGAUUGAGCGGCCGAUGUCAGAUUAGCUAGUUGGUGAGGGAAAGGCUCACCAAGGCGACGAUCUGUAGCGGGUCGGAGAGGAUGAUCCGCCACACUGGGACUGAGACACGGUCCGGACUCCUACGGGAGGCGGCGGUGGGGAAUUUUGGAACAUGGGGGCAACCCUGAUCCAGCCAUGCCGCGUGAGUGAAGAAGGCCUUCGGGUUGUAAAGCUCUUGCGGCCGGGAAGAAAUCGCACGGGCUAAUACCCUGUGUGGAUGACGGUACCGGAAUAAGAAGCACCGGCUAACUACGUGCCAGCCGCCGCGGUAAUAC